rnacentral:lncRNA from 1 species
AUUAGGUUAGCUCAAUUGGAUCUUGAUCUGUUAGAUUAAAUUCUAAUCAAAUCAGAUAGACUUUCACUCAGACCCACUGCUUGCUAGAUGUGGAACUCAAUGGGUCACACAUAAAAAAAAUUGAUCAAAGGUCUAAUUGGAUUAGAUCAUGUUUGCAAAAUUGAUAUGCUAGCACAUGUUGCAAAUCCUAGCUCCUUGUUUCGAAUUGGGUUUGAAAUUGAUUUCAGAUUGGGCUAAUUAAAUUCAAAUUAAUUCAAAAUAAUUUUGGGUUUGAGUUGGGUCAACCCAUCGAUGCAUGAACCAGGGCUUGGAUGCCAUAUAACC